UACGUAGGGUGCGAGCGUUAAUCGGAAUUACUGGGCGUAAAGCGUGCGCAGGCGGUUUUGUAAGCCAGAUGUGAAAUCCCCGGGCUUAACCUGGGAAUGGCAUUUGGGACUGCAAGGCUUGAGUGCGGCAGAGGAGACUGGAAUUCCUGGUGUAGCAGUGAAAUGCGUAGAUAUCAGGAGGAACACCGAUGGCGAAGGCAGGUCUCUGGGGGGCGAUCUGACGCUGAGGCGCGAAAGCGUGGGGAGCAAACAGG
rnacentral:rRNA from 1 species